rnacentral:rRNA from 1 species
CAGUCGAACGGGGAUGCUGACGGAAGGGGUGCUUGCACUCUGGAAGUAAGGCUCUUAGUGGCGGACGGGUGAGUCACGCGUGGGUAACCUGCCCCAUACCGGGGGAUACCACCUGGAAACAGGUGCUAAUACCGCAUAAGCGCACGGGAGCGCAUGCUCCUGUGUGAAAAACUCCGGUGGUAUGGGAUGGACCCGCGUCUGAUUAGCCAGUUGGCAGGGUAACGGCCUACCAAAGCGACGAUCAGUAGCCGGCCUGAGAGGGUGGACGGCCACAUUGGGACUGAGACACGGCCCAAACUCCUACGGGAGGCAGCAGUGGGGAAUAUUGCACAAUGGGGGAAACCCUGAUGCAGCGACGCCGCGUGAGUGAAGAAGUAUUUCGGUAUGUAAAGCUCUAUCAGCAGGAACGAGACAAGACGGUACCUGACUAAGAAGCCCCGGCUAACUACGUGCCAGCAGCCGCGGUAAUACGUAGGGGGCAAGCGUUAUCCGGAAUCACUGGGUGUAAAGGGAGCGUAGACGGCUGUGCAAGCCUGAAGUGAAAGGCGGGGGCCCAACCCCCGGACUGCUUUGGGAACUGUACGGCUGGAGUGCAGGAGAGGUAAGUGGAAUUCCUAGUGUAGCGGUGAAAUGCGUAGAUAUUAGGAGGAACACCAGUGGCGAAGGCGGCUUACUGGACUGUAACUGACGUUGAGGCUCGAAAGCGUGGGGAGCAAACAGGAUUAGAUACCCUGGUAGUCCACGCCGUAAACGAUGAUUACUAGGUGUCGGGGGGCAGAGGCCCUUCGGUGCCGCAGCAAACGCAAUAAGUAAUCCACCUGGGGAGUACGUCCGCAAGGAUGAAACUCA